GCUCUGUUAUACCUUCUCUCUGUAAUAGACAAUUUUGUUUUGCAGUUGCAGAAGGCAGGAAACAAGGGUGUUUCUGUCGUGAGAGGAAUGGCAGCAGCAGGAGUGAGAACAACAACUGACAAAACAAGACACAGCUGGCACAGUCUGGUGGUUGAGGAUGAUGGAUAUGACCUUCACUGACUUGUCAAUGUCCCAAGUGUCAAACCUGGCCCCACCUCCGUGAAGUUCGUUCGCAUAAAAACAUUAACUGGAGCCAAUCUUCACAAUCUGGUGACUCAGAGUGUGGAACAAUGCAGCUGAGGCCUUGUCAAGCCCUACAUCAACAGUUGGCACAACUCCGCUUGUUACAACUUUUAGCCACAAACAGGACUUUCAUCCAUCUGUAACCUGGGAGUCAUGUGAGAUGAGUUCAUGGGAAGAAGGUGGACUGAGGAAGCCCAGUGAGUUGGCCACGGUGAGCUGGUAAAUGCUUAACAACUGGCUCUCCAAGGGAAAAACCAGUUUGUAGUGUGUGCCAAUUCCCGUGAUGUAAAUGCUCCCACCACAGUCAAUUUCAGACUAACCUCGUGAAGUCACUGAACCCACAGUUGGAAUGAGACGCACACAACCAGUUCUUCCACGCAGUCCACACCAGUUCCAGUACACAGCUGGCGAUGAGGUACCAUUUCAUUGCCAGACUUUCUGGCAACUCAGAAAGUCUGACGAUACCAGAUGUUUAAUAUCAAGAGGCAUUAAAAAGUGAAAUGUAAAACUGGUACAAUCACUUUGGAGAGCCAAAUGGCAUAAUCUGGUGUUGCACAUAUCCAAGAGUCUAAAAUUGUUUGCAGUUUUCCAUCAGGAUAUGUUAUAAACAGUGCUUAUUGCAGAAUUGUUGGUAAAAGCAAAAAAAAAGAGAAAGAAAGAAAAAAAGAAAGAAA